CAUUGUCGAUAUGUGCCUUUGGUUAGACCACGAACAAAUUAAUUUGUAUGAAGGAUCCAUAUUUUGAUGUUAACAUUUUUGUAACUUCAAUGUGUGCUCCAUAACAAAAAAACGGCACAAAUUGUUGCCAAGGCAAAAUGUAAGGAAUAUUUUGAGAUGAUAUGUUGAAAUGCAUUCAUCAAAGAUAUCUCCACUAUCUUAAUCCUCAUGGAUAGCUUGAUGACUCUCGACAACGGAUAUCUUGGCUCUUGCAUCGAUGAAGAACGUAGCGAAAUGCGAUACUUGGUGUGAAUUGCAGAAUCCCGUGAACCAUCGAGUCUUUGAACGCAAGUUGCGCCUGAAGCCUUUAGGUGGAAGGCAUGUCUGCUUGGGCGUCAUAUGUUGUUGUAUUCCUGACACAUAUUGCAAGAUAUGUUAGGAAUCAGAGAAUGGCCUUCUAUUUGCUUGGUCUCGUAGUGGGCUUAAAUUUAUUUUGCAUGUUUGGUGCUAGCAUGAUGGGUGGAAUUUGUUGGAUGUUUAUCAUUCCAAACCUACGUGUCGUGCCACAUUGUAUCAUUCAAUGUAAAUAAAAAGCACCCUUAGUGUGUCAUUGCAUGUUUAUGCUUUUUUCGCACAUUGAAAUUGACAGCGACCCCAAGUCAGACCAGACCACCCGCUGAAUUUAAG
rnacentral:rRNA from 1 species